CAACUACUCCCUCUGUCCCAAAUUUCUUGUCUAAGAUUUGUCUAGAUACGGACGUAUUUAUACAUCCGUAUCUAGACAAAUCUAAGACAAGAAUUUUGGGACGGAGGGAGUACUUU
rfam:Triticum aestivum genome assembly, contig: Triticum_aestivum_CS42_TGACv1_scaffold_148136_2BS